rnacentral:rRNA from 1 species
UCUGGUCAGGACGAACGCUGGCGGCAUGCCUAACACAUGCAAGUCGAACGGAGCAAGGGGGCUUGCCCUCUUGCUAGUGGCGGACGGGCGAGUAACGCGUGAGCAACCUGCCCCUCAGAGGGGAAUAACGUCCGGAAACGGACGCUAAUACCGCAUAACGCAGCGGGAGCGCAUGCUUCUGCUGCCAAAGGAGCAAUCCGCUGAGGGAUGGGCUCGCGUCCGAUUAGCUGGUUGGCGGGGUAACGGCCCACCAAGGCGACGAUCGGUAGCCGAACUGAGAGGUUGAUCGGCCGCAUUGGGACUGAGACACGGCCCAGACUCCUACGGGAGGCAGCAGUGGGGGAUAUUGCACAAUGGAGGAAACUCUGAUGCAGCAAUGCCGCGUGAGGGAAGACGGUCUUCGGAUUGUAAACCUAAGUAGACAGGAACGAUAAUGACGGUACCUGUAAAGUAAGCUCCGGCUAACUACGUGCCAGCAGCCGC